rfam:Danio rerio chromosome 7 genomic contig CTG751, GRCz11 reference primary assembly.
GCCGGCAGCUAGCUCUCUGCAACUCCCAUAUUGUCGCCCACUGAAGCUAAGCAGGGUUGAGUCUGGUCAGUACCUGGAUGGGAGACCACAUGGGAAAGCUAGUUUGCUGUCGGAA